rnacentral:lncRNA from 1 species
UAUGGCGCUCGAGUUGGCUGGCCGACAGACAAGCAUACGGAAGACCUACCUGUCGCCGACGAACCUAAGAAAUGAAAUGGAGUGGAUAUGUUUGCUUGUAUGGGAAACCUGCAGUAUGCUAAUGGUUUGCAUGUGGACCCACAUCACCUCAGCUGGGAUUACAGCUGAAUGAGGAAGAGUACCAGAACCUAGACCAGGGGUGUUCAAACUUUGUCCUGGAGGGCCGGUGGCCUGGAGAAAUUAGCUCCAACCCUCAUCAAACCAGCCUGAUCUCACAAGAAAACGUUUGUUGAAGCAAGUUGGAGCUAAACUCAAAAGGACACAGGCCCUCCAGGAUUGAGCUUGGACACCCCUGUCCUAGACCUUAUUUGAGAUUUUCCUAUGUGAUUAUACCCUAAAGUUGGGUUUGUUGUUAACAUCUGUGGUAAACAUACAACUAUUUUAGUUUAAUGUUUUGAUGUACAACAUAAACUAAACAUACUUGUGUAAG